rnacentral:rRNA from 1 species
UACAGAGGGUGCAAGCGUUAAUCGGAAUUACUGGGCGUAAAGCGCGCGUAGGUGGCUUUUUAAGUUGGAUGUGAAAGCCCCGGGCUCAACCUGGGAACUGCAUCCAAAACUGGCAAGCUUGAGUACGGUAGAGGGUGGUGGAAUUUCCUGUGUAGCGGUGAAAUGCGUAGAUAUAGGAAGGAACACCAGUGGCGAAGGCGACCACCUGGACUGAUACUGACACUGAGAGACGAAAGCUAGGGGAGCGAAUGGG